rnacentral:lncRNA from 1 species
CUUUCUACGGCAGCACGGCCUGGGGAGGAGGUCGUCCAGGCUGGGAGAGCCCACGAGGCCAUCUGUCUGGCGGGAUGGGCAGGUGCCCCUGUAUGUGAGCGUGAGACCUCCCCCAUCCCCAGUCAGCUAACCCAGCCCUUGCUGACAUCUACACAGAGCACGCCCAUCAGGUGGUGGUGGCCAAGUAUGCGCCCAGCGGAUUCUACAUUGCCUCCGGAGAUGUGUCUGGGAAGCUGAGGAUCUGGGAUACCACGCAGAAGGAGCACCUGUUGAAGUAUGAGUACCAGCCUUUCGCUGGGAAGAUCAAAGACAUUGCUUGGACUGAAGACAGUAAGAGGAUCGCCGUGGUCGGGGAAGGAAGGGAGAAGUUUGGAGCAGUCUUCCUCUGGGAUAGUGGCUCUUCUGUGGGCGAGAUUACAGGACACAACAAAGUCAUCAACAGCGUGGACAUCAAGCAGAGCCGGCCAUACCGGCUGGCCACGGGAAGCGAUGAUAACUGCGCGGCAUUCUUUGAGGGACCCCCAUUCAAGUUCAAGUUCACAAUUGGCG